CGAAGGAAAGCUGCUCAGCCUGGAACAGGGGACCAGGCAUCCUAGGUGCCCAGAUAUUUCCAAGUGACUCUAUAAUCUUCACCCAAUAAUUAAUUUUUCUUUUUAUGCUGGAAAAUGUCCCAAUUUAAUAAAUGAUGUAGCUGUUUUAUUGGUGCAGUGACGCUGAGUUUCUCAACCCAGUGCCCAGCAUCUGUGAGAAUGCCGCCUUCCCCAGCUGGUCUGCCGUGCAGUCGUCAUCUCGUCCAGGGUCUCAUGUUAUUUGGGCAUGGGCGCCAUGGUGUAAACACAGACACCCUCGCAGGUUCUGACACUGCUCGCCAGGCUCCAUAUUUCCGAAUCUGUAGCUGCUGGUUUUAAAGAUUGUCAUUACAGUGAAAACCAGAUUUUAAAAUUCUCUUAGAGGCCUAAUGGACUCCUAGGAAUAUAUGUGAAGACACUUUCUAAGGAUUGUUACAUAUUAAAGGAGAGUAUAAAAAGGGAGGAGCAAUUUACUCCACAGAGGACAGAGAUUAUUCAGAAAAUGAAAGGUAACUUUUUUUUUUUUUUUUUUUUUUGGUCUUUUUGCCAUUUCUUGGGCCACUCCCACAGCAUAUGGAGAUUCCCAGGCUAGAGGUCUAAUCGGAGCCGUAGCCACCGGCCUAUGCCAGAGCCACAGCAAUGCGGGAUCCGAGCCUCAUCUGCAACCUACACCACAGCUCACAGCAACGCCGGAUCGUCAACCCACUGAGCAAGGGCAGGGACCGAACCCACAACCUCAUGGUUCCUCGUUGGAUUUGUUAACCACUGCGCCACGAUGGGAACUCCAAAGGUAACUUUUUUAAAAAAAAUUCAGGCAGUUCCAGAAGAGAUUCCCAAAGACAAUGUAUCCAUCCAAUAGUAAAAACAAGGUGCUAUUUCUCUUAAAGUUUUCAGAGGAAAAAAAAAUUAUGUAAAUGGAAAAGCAUAAUGUUUAAAUAAGAAAUUCAAAGGGCAGUCUGCACAAUUGAAUGUAUUAUAAAUGACAAACAGAGACCUGACAAACUCCAGGAUAGCUCUCAAAAUAUGGCACAAAAAGAUGAGCUAGCGAAUAUGAGAAAAAGUAGAGGACAGAGGGUCAGUUACUGGCUAGCGGGAGUUGGUAAGACAGGACUAUGGGGAGGGGGGAGCUAACCAAAGACGUAAUACACGAAAAUUCUCUGAACUGAAAGGAAGACACCAGUCUUUUGAUGCCAAAGGCCCCUAAGUCAUGAGCAGUAUGAACAGACAAGAAGAAGAGAUAAACCCACUUAGCGCUAUAGCCUAAUGAGAUGUCUGAAGUCCGAGGGUGCAGAGGAAACCCCAGCCUUCCAGAGAGAAUAAACAGGCUGCUCACAACA
rnacentral:lncRNA from 1 species